rnacentral:rRNA from 1 species
CGGUUAAAAAGCUCGUAGUUGGAUCUCGGCGGGCAGGGGGUGGUUCGCUCUUCAGCGCUACUGCCCCGCUUUGCCCGUGUGAUUGGCGGAGGUUUCGGGGUGCUCUUCGUUGAGUGACUCGGAGCGCCGUCAGGUUUACUUUGAAAAAAUUAGAGUGCUCAAAGCAGGCUUUUCACGCUUGAAUAUUCGUGCAUGGAAUAAUGGAAUAGGAACUCGUUUCUAUUUUGUUGGUUUUCGGAAAUCGAGUUAAUGAUUAACAGGGACAAUUGGGGGCAUUAGUAUUCAGACGACAGAGGUGAAAUUCUUGGACCGUCUGAAGACUGACUACUGCGAAAGCAUUUGCCAAGAGUGUUUUCAUUAAUCAAGAACGAAAGUUAGAGGUUCGAAGGCGAUCAGAUACCGCCCUAGUUCUAACCAUAAACGAUGCCAGCUAGCGAUCUGCCGAGUUUUCUUUGUAGGCUCCGCAGGAAGCUUUCGGGAAACCAAAGCUUUUGGGUUCCGGGGGAAGUAUGGUUGCAAAGCUGAAACUUAAAGGAAUUGACGGAAGGGCACCACCAGGAGUGGAGCCUGCGGCUUAAUUUGACUCAACACGGGAAAUCUCACCAGGCC